AUUCUCUUUGACUAGGGAUCCAAAGAGGGUGCUAGACCCUUACGCAUUGUUGACUUUUCGUACGCGUUCGUUUCUUGGAGUAGGGUUGUUUUGGAUCGCAGCCCAAAGUAGGUGGUAUACUUCAUCUAAAGCUAAAUACGACUACGAAUCCGAUAGCAAACAAGUACCGUGAGGGAAAGUUGCAAAGUACUUUGAAGAGAGAGUUCAAGAGGACGUGAAACCGGUAGGAUGGAAGCAGAUAAAGUUGACGAACGUGUGUCGUAUUCAGAUCUACAAUUUGUGGGUUGUUUUUACGAUCGAUGUGGGCUGGCGUCUUUGGUUAACUUAGUGUCUGGCGGCAAUGGUGACCCUGCGGAGGGAUAAUCGGUUGUCGUGCGAUGCUGGGUAUGGCUAGAGGUUCGCUGGUCUUAUAGUCAUCGCUUUAUCUGACCCGUCUUGAAACACGGACCAAGGAGUGUAGCGCUUACGCGAGUCUUAGAGUGUGUCAAAACUUUGAGGCGUAACGAAAGUAAAUGUGGAUUUAUUCACUGACUUGGGAUGCGUUGUCUUUUUUGGAUAGCGUUGGACCAUGGUUUUAUCGUAAUCGCUUGCGAUGCGGUGAAAAUAGAGCGUAAGCGGUGCGA
rnacentral:rRNA from 1 species